AGCAUCCGUAGCUCGUUUUGUAAGUUUUCGGUUAAAUCCAUGCGCUUAACGUAUGGGCUGCCGGGAAUACUGCAUAACUAGGAAGUGGGAGAGGUAGACGGUACUCGGUAGGAAGGGGUAAAAUCCUUUGAUCUAUUGAUGACCACCUGCGGCGAAGGCGGUCUACCAGAACACGUUCGACGGUGAGGGAUGAAAGCUGGGGGAGCAAACCGGAUUAGAUACCCGGGUAGUCCCAGCUGUAAACUAUGCAAACUCAGUGAUGCAUUGGCUUGUGGCCAAUGCAGUGCUGCAGGGAAGCCGUUAAGUUUGCCGCCUGGGAAGUACGUACGCAAGUAUGAAACUUAAAGGAAUUGGCGGGGGAGCAUAAGCCG
rnacentral:rRNA from 2 species